CCUACGGGAGGCAGCAGUAGGGAAUAUUGCUCAAUGGGGGAAACCCUGAAGCAGCAACGCCGCGUGGAGGAUGAAGGUUUUCGGAUUGUAAACUCCUUUUGUUAGAGGAGUUAAUGACGGUAUCUAACGGAUAAGCACCGUCUAAUUCCGUGACAGCAGCCGCGGUAAUACGGAGGGUGCAAGCGUUACUCGGAAUCACUGGGCGUAAAGAGCGCGUAGGCGGGAUAACAAGUCAGAUGUGAAAUACUAUGGCUUAACCAUAGAACUGCAUUUAAAACUGUUAUUCUAGAGUAUGGGAGGGGUAGGUGGAAUGCUUGGUGUAGCGGUAAAAUGCGUAGAGAUCAAAAGGAAUACUGAUUGCGAAGGCGACCUACUAGAACAUAACUGACGCUGAUGCGCGAAAGCGUGGGGAGCAAACAGGAUUAGAUACCCUUGUAGUC
rnacentral:rRNA from 1 species